AACGAACGCUGGCGGCAGGCCUAACACAUGCAAGUCGAACGGAUGUAGCAAUACAUUAGUGGCGCACGGGUGCGUAACACGUGGGAAUGUACCCCAGGGUAAGGAAUAAUGUCUGGAAACGGACACUAAUACCUUAUAAUGACUUUGGUCCAAAGAUUUAUCGCCCUGGGAUCAGCCCGCGCCUGAUUAGCUAGUUGGUGAGGUAAUGGCUCACCAAGGCUACGAUCAGUAGCUGGUCUGAGAGGAUGAUCAGCCACACUGGAACUGAGACACGGUCCAGACUCCUACGGGAGGCAGCAGUGAGGAAUAUUGCACAAUGGAGGAAACUCUGAUGCAGCCAUGCCGCGUGAGUGAAGAAGGCCUUCGGGUUGUAAAGCUCUUUUAGUCGUGAAGAUAAUGACGGUAGCGACAGAAAAAGCCCCGGCUAAAUUCGUGCCAGCCGCCGCCGUAA
rnacentral:rRNA from 1 species